UACGGAGGGUGCAAGCGUUGUCCGGAUUUAUUGGGUUUAAAGGGUGCGUAGGCGGCCCGUUUAGUCAGCGGUGAAAUCCCAGGGCUCAACCCUGGAACUGCCGUUGAUACUGGCGGGCUUGAGUUCGGUCGAGGCGGGCGGAACUGGUGGUGUAGCGGUGAAAUGCAUAGAUACCACCAAGAACCCCGAUUGCGUAGGCAGCUCGCUAGGCCGAAACUGACGCUGAGGCACGAAAGCGUGGGGAGCGAACAGG
rnacentral:rRNA from 1 species